rnacentral:rRNA from 1 species
UGGCUAACUCCUACGGGAGGCAGCAGUGGGGAAUAUUGGACAAUGGGCGAAAGCCUGAUCCAGCAAUGCCGCGUGAGUGAUGAAGGCCUUAGGGUUGUAAAGCUCUUUUACCAGGGAUGAUAAUGACAGUACCUGGAGAAUAAGCUCCGGCUAACUCCGUGCCAGCAGCCGCGGUAAUACGGAGGGAGCUAGCGUUGUUCGGAAUUACUGGGCGUAAAGCGCACGUAGGCGGCUACUCAAGUCGGGGGUGAAAGCCCGGGGCUCAACCCCGGAACUGCCCUCGAAACUAGGUAGCUAGAAUCUUGGAGAGGUCAGUGGAAUUCCGAGUGUAGAGGUGAAAUUCGUAGAUAUUCGGAAGAACACCAGUGGCGAAGGCGACUGACUGGACAAGUAUUGACGCUGAGGUGCGAAAGCGUGGGGAGCAAACAGGAUUAGAAACCCCGGUAGUCCAGCUGG